GGGGGAAAUAUCAAGAUCUUGUCAGAUACAACCUUUUUACAUUCGGGGGAAAUAUCAAGAUCUUGUCAGGAAAUAACUUUUUACCUCUUGUUAUUAAUUUGUUGAAAAAUAUUUCCUUGUUCUUUGGCUGACACUAAUGAUACUGAAUAACUUCCUUCUUUUGUCAUCUUCAUAAUAAUAAUAAUAAUAACGACGAGAACAGAACUCUCCCUCUGCAGAAUCUACAAAGGCCACGAGAAGCUCCUGACGGAGGUGACGGUCGACGGGAGAGUGACCAUAGCGAGAGCCGUUACAGAGGUCACACCCUCCGACAACGGAGCCAAGAUCUCUUGCCAGGUCUCAAAUCCGGCGACUGACGCGCCCCUGGUGGCAACAACGCCAAUCGAGUUGUUCUUUCCUCCUUGGGAAGUGAAGGCCUGGGUCUCCCCGACCAACGUCUCCGCGGGUCAAGUCGCAAAGCUGAUCUGUGAGUCGUCCUCGAGCCUUCCUGCUUCGACCAUCACUUGGAGGUCGGGCUCAGUCACCAACCACGGAGCCACUUCCAUGCACAGGUCGGGGCUCUAUGGAGGUCAGGU